AAAAAGAAAUUAAAAACCAAUUGUUCAGAGAACAAUUGUAGGUCUUUCCACUAGUAAAGAUCUAUUUUGAUAUUGAAAUAUGAAAAAUCAGUUUAAAAUGUUAGUUCCUAUGGCUUUAUGAUGUAUUUAUAUGAAUUUAAAGCAAAGGUCAAAAUCUAGAACGUCCUUUUAACCUAUGACCUUGACCUCAAUUUCAAGGUCACAAACCAAGGACCUUAAAUCAUAAGACCCUGGGUCUUUAAUAUGUUUGGUUAAUGAGUAAUACCACUUUACGCGUAAUUCUAAAUGUAAGGUGGACAAAAACUCCAAUUUAUUGUAUGCGCACC
rnacentral:lncRNA from 1 species